UGGGGGAUAUUGCACAAUGGGCGCAAGCCUGAUGCAGCGACGCCGCGUGGGGGAUGAAGGCCUUCGGGUUGUAAACUUCUUUUGCUCUGAACAAGGCGCACUUUGGGGUGUGUUGAGUGUAGGGGUUGAUUAGCGCCGGCUAACUACGUGCCAGCAGCCGCGGUAAUACGUAGGGCGCGAGCGUUGUCCGGAAUUAUUGGGCGUAAAGGGCUUGUAGGUGGCUGGUUGCGUCUGUCGUGAAAGCUCAUGGCUUAACUGUGGGUUUGCGGUGGGUACGGGCUGGCUUGAGUGCAGUAGGGGAGGCUGGAAUUCCUGGUGUAGCGGUGGAAUGCGCAGAUAUCAGGAGGAAUACCGGGGGCGAAGGCGGGUCUCUGGGCUGUUACUGACACUGAGGAGCGAAAGCAUGGGGAGCGAACAGG
rnacentral:rRNA from 1 species